ACCGUACGAACGUUAUUCGGAAUUACUGGGCUUAAAGGGCGCGUAGGCGGCCUGGCAAGUGGAAGGUGAAAUCCCUCGGCUUAACCGAGGAACUGCCUCCCAAACUGCUUGGCUUGAGACCAGGAGAGGUGAGUGGAAUUCCCAGUGUAGCGGUGAAAUGCGUAGAUAUUGGGAGGAACACCAGUGGCGAAGGCGGCUCACUGGACUGGUACUGACGCUGAGGCGCGAAAGCGUGGGGAGCAAACGGG
rnacentral:rRNA from 1 species